CAGCCGCCGCGGUAAUACAGAGGGUGCAAGCGUUAAUCGGAAUUACUGGGCGUAAAGUGCGCGUAGGUGGUUUGUUAAGUUGGAUGUGAAAUCCCCGGGCUCAACCUGGGAACUGCAUCCAAAACUGGCAAGCUAGAGUAUGGUAGAGGGUGGUGGAAUUUCCUGUGUAGCGGUGAAAUGCGUAGAUAUAGGAAGGAACACCAGUGGCGAAGGCGACCACCUGGACUGAUACUGACACUGAGGUGCGAAAGCGUGGGGAGCAAACAGGAUUAGAUACCCCAGUAGUCCCUGUCUCUUAUAC
rnacentral:rRNA from 1 species